CACGAGUUCACGGUUAAUUUGGCC
rnacentral:siRNA from 1 species